UGCUACCGACGGGGCGCAGCAGUGAGGAAUAUUGGUCAAUGGGCGCGAGCCUGAACCAGCCAAGUCGCGUGAGGAAAGACGGUCCUAUGGAUUGUAAACCUCUUUUGUCGGGGAGCAAAAGACGCCACGCGUGGCGUUCCGAGAGUACCCGAAGAAAAAGCAUCGGCUAACUCCGUGCCAGCAGCCGCGGUAAUACGGAGGAUGCGAGCGUUAUCCGGAUUUAUUGGGUUUAAAGGGUGCGCAGGCGGAAGAUCAAGUCAGCGGUAAAAUUGAGAGGCUCAACCUCUUCGA
rnacentral:rRNA from 1 species